rnacentral:rRNA from 1 species
UACGUAGGGAGCGAGCGUUGUCCGGAUUUACUGGGUGUAAAGGGUGCGUAGGCGGAAGAGCAAGUCAGUAGUGAAAUCCAUGGGCUUAACCCGUGAACUGCUAUUGAAACUGUUCUUCUUGAGUGAAGUAGAGGUAGGCGGAAUUCCCGGUGUAGCGGUGAAAUGCGUAGAGAUCGGGAGGAACACCAGUGGCGAAGGCGGCCUACUGGGCUUUAACUGACGCUGAGGCACGAAAGCAUGGGUAGCAAACAGG